rnacentral:lncRNA from 1 species
GAUAGUCUUUACAACUGGAAAAAGGAAUCGGUUGGAAAUUUAGAAAAACUAGUUCACUAGCAUUGGAAUUGAUUAUAAAAAACGAAAAAAUAAACCUUUUCUCUUGAAUCAGACGAGUACAUGUUGUUUUCUUCCAUAGAUUCAGGUCCUUUCCCGCGGCGAUUAAUCGUCGCAGUUGUCGUCUACGGUUGCUUACCGGAGCGAUUGCGUGUCAUUUGGAGGAAUUGCAGAGGGUCGUGGCGGCAUCUAAUCGUCGAUGGUCGAGGCUAGUGAGGAAGAUUCAGGGAAUCGCAGCCG